rnacentral:rRNA from 1 species
UACGUAGGCAGCAAGCGUUGUUCGGAUUUACUGGGCGUAAAGGGCGCGUAGGCGGCCACCGCAAGUCGACUGUGAAAUCUCCGGGCUUAACCCGGAAAGGUCAGCCGAUACUGCGGGGCUAGAGUGCAGAAGGGGCAACUGGAAUUCUCGGUGUAGCGGUGAAAUGCGUAGAUAUCGAGAGGAACACCUGCGGCGAAGGCGGGUUGCUGGGCUGACACUGACGCUGAUGUGCGAAAGCUAGGGGAGCGAACGGG